rnacentral:rRNA from 1 species
UUCCGUAGGGGUGAACCUGCGGAAGGAUCAUUACCGAGUGCGGGUCCUUUGGGCCCAACCUCCCAUCCGUGUCUAUUGUACCCUGUUGCUUCGGCGGGCCCGCCGCUUGUCGGCCGCCGGGGGGGCGCCUCUGCCCCCCGGGCCCGUGCCCGCCGGAGACCCCAACACGAACACUGUCUGAAAGCGUGCAGUCUGAGUUGAUUGAAUGCAAUCAGUUAAAACUUUCAACAAUGGAUCUCUUGGUUCCGGCAUCGAUGAAGAACGCAGCGAAAUGCGAUAACUAAUGUGAAUUGCAGAAUUCAGUGAAUCAUCGAGUCUUUGAACGCACAUUGCGCCCCCUGGUAUUCCGGGGGGCAUGCCUGUCCGAGCGUCAUUGCUGCCCUCAAGCCCGGCUUGUGUGUUGGGUCGCCGUCCCCCUCUCCGGGGGGACGGGCCCGAAAGGCAGCGGCGGCACCGCGUCCGAUCCUCGAGCGUAUGGGGCUUUGUCACAUGCUCUGUAGGAUUGGCCGGCGCCUGCCGACGUUUUCCAACCAUUCUUUCCAGGUUGACCUCGGAUCAGGUAGGGAUACCCGCUGAACUUAAGCAUAUCAAUAAGCGGGAGGA